UUUCACUUUGGUUUCUGAUAACUAAACUGACACUGUUUAUCUACAUAACUAAUUAAGAAGAGUUCAUGAGUGCUCGAAUGAAUCUUCAUGUUCAAAAGGUAAAUUAUAUAUCUAUUCAAAUCAAAUUAUGAGGUAUGUGCUGUAGUUAUGUUGUUGGGCCCUCUUCUUGUACUUUAUUUUUAAAAAUGAAGAAAAAAAAUGUUAAAUAAUUCAUCUCAUGCAAGAUUACAACAUAAAUGAAUAAACAAGAUGAUGUCAAACUCAUUUUUUGUUUUAUUGUGUUUGCUUGUAUGUGAUUGUCAUUAAUGUAUUGCUGCUUCUAUGUAGAUUGGUAUUCAUUACACAUAAAUUGUGGUGGGAAAAAAUCACUGUUGCAAAUGUAGAGUAUGAAGAGGAUGAAGACAUAGCUGGUCUAGCGAAAUUUUAUUAUGUGGAGAAUUGGGGAUUCAGUAGCACUGAUUGUUUUUGGGAUGUUGACACUGUCUCAAAUGACUAUUUAGCAACUAAUGAAUCCAUACUUACAAUGGACAAUUCCCAAAUAGACACAAGUGCACGACUAUCUCCUCUUUCGAUCAUAUAUUAUGCCCACUGCUUAGUGAAUGGAAAUUAUACCGUGAAACUUCACUUUGCAGAGGAUUUGAUUACACAAGUUCACAUAUUAAUGUAUAUACACAAGUUCACAAGCAAUAGAUCUUCUUACAGUCUUGGGAAGCGGAUAUUUGAUGUUUAUAUCUAGGUACUCUGACAUUUAUUUUUCUUUUUAGGUUAUAGUAGAGGAUUUGAUUGAUUCAAUUUGCUGCAGGAAAACUGGCAUUGAAAGAUUUUAAUAUUGAAAAUGAUGCCCAAGGGCUUGAUCAAGCAGCCUUUAAGAAUUUUACAGCUGUUGUUAUGAAUAAAAUUUUGAUGAUUCGGUUUCAUUGGGCUGGGAAAGGAACAACAGCUGCCCCAAAGAGAGGGAUAUAUUGUCCUCCUGUGUCAGCUAUCUUUGUUGAAUCUGAUUUCAGUCCCCUUGUUGAUGGCAAAGGUUGUGGUUGGAGCUAUAGUUCUAGUGCUACUCCUCAUUUUUGUGAUUUUAUGCAUUCUUUGGUGGAAGGGCUGUAUGGGAGGGAGGAUAUCAAGGGAAAAAGGUACUGCAGGUGACCGAUUAAAAUUGGAUUGGCUUGCAAGGCAGAAAAUAUGUGUUGGCAUAACAAGAGGUCUGGCUCUCUUACAUGAGGAAUCAAUACUAAAAAUUGUUCAUAGAGAAUCUAUUACUUGAUGGUGACUUUAAUCCUAAGAUCUCUAACUUUGGUUUGGGCUAGUUUAUGAAGAGGAGAAUACCCACAUCAGCACUAGAAUUUCUGGAACCAUGGUUAGGUCUCCUCACCCACGCCGCCUGUAGAAUUUCAGGAUUCAUGGAAUGGGCAGAUGGGAGCAAGUCGGGAGCAAGUCUGGUGUGGGGACUCAACCACAAGAUUAACAUGUGUCAAGCAAAUCUGAGAAAUUGGAAUCGUACCUCAUUUGGUCAUGUCCGUAAUCUUUUAUCCAAAAAACUCGGAAUUAAAGUUGGCUGAGGAACUAGAUGGGUACCUAACCAAUCCCACCUGUAUCUAUCAGCUUCAGGAUGAUAUUGAAAUGCUCAAGUCAAAAGAAGAGUGUAUGUGGAAGCAAAGGUCCCGAAAUACUUGGCUGAAAGAAGGUGAUCACUACACAAGAGGAAUUAUAUUCUGGGUUUGAAUGAUGAAACUGGUGUUUGGGUAGAGGAGGAAGAUCAGUUGGGAAAUUUGGUGGAAAAAUAUUUUCAGGAUAUGUCACCACUUCAAAUCCAUUGGCUUUGAUGAUAUUCUCAAUGGUAUCCAGCCAAUAGUGACAACAGAGAUGAAUGAGGCAUUGACCCGCGAGUUUAGAUCUGAGGAAGUGCAGCACAAAUAGCUCCUCUCAUUGCACCUGGACUUGACUCGAUGUCACAUAGUGGGUGAACUUCCACAGUCCUUCAUGCUCUGAAUAUAGGUACUGUCCAUGAAUCUUUCAACUACACUUUCAUUUCCCUUAUCCCCAAAAUUAAGAAUCCCAAGAGAGUAGUAGAUUUUAGACCAUUAGUCUAUGCAAUGUAAUUUACAAGUUAAUUGCUAAGGUGUUGGUAAACCGGAUGAAAUCGAUCCUACCAAAUGUUGUUCAUGAUUCUCAAAGUGCUUUCUUGUUUGGAAGGCUUAUCACUGAUAAUGUUCUUGUAGCAUUUGAGACCCUGCACUAUUUAAAAAGAAAGACCCAAGGAAAAUUAGGUUUCAUGGCCCUUAAACUUGACAUGAGGAAAGCCUAUGACUGGGUGGUAUGGGUUUUCUUGGAAAAAUCAUGCGACAUUUAGGUUUUGUAGAUGUACAUGUUAUACUGAUCAUGUCUUGUCUCUCUUUAGUUUCCUAUUCUGUAUUGCUUAAUGGUCAACUUGUAGGAAAUAUAAAACCUAACAGAGGACUCAAACAAGGUGAUCAGUUGUCUUCUUACCUAUUUUUACUAUGUGCUAUGGUUUGCAAGGUUUAUUGAAAAAAGUUGAGGUAGAUGAUGAUAUCAAGGGGGUUUCUAUUUGUCGCAACGGGCCUCGGGUUUCACACUUGUUUUUUUGUAGAUGAUAGUGUCCUAUUUUGCUAGACAAAAGAGAUUGAGUGCCAGAAAAUUCUUGGAGUUUUUAGAGGUCUAUGAAAGGGUUCGGGGCAGAAAAUAAACAGAGAUAAGACCAAUAUUUUCUUUAGUUCAAACACUCAGCAUGACUUGCAGGUUCAAAUCCAACAUCUACUUGGUGUCCCAACUAUUCGUCAAUAUGAAAAAUAUUUGGGGCUUCCAGCUUUGGUGGGGAGAGCGAGGAAACAAAACUUCUUCUAUCUCAAAGAAAGGAUUUGGAGGAAGCUACAACAUUGGAAGGAAAAAAAUAUUUCUCAACCAGGUAGGGAGGUUCUCAUUAAAUCAGUAAUACAAGGUUCUCACUAAAUCAGUAAUAUAGGCCAUACCAACCUAUACUAUGAGUUGGUUCAAAUUCCCUAAGGAUUUAGUGAAGGAGUUGGAAGUAAUUAAUUCACAAAUUUUGGUGGGUUAUAAUGGAGAUAUUAGAAAAAAUUCAUCGGAUGAGCUGGGAGAGGCUGUGUGAAGCAAAGGAAGUGGGUGGAAUGGGUUUUAAGGAAAUUGAAAAGUUUAAUGAUGCGUUGCUAGCUAAACAAGUGUGGCGUAUGAUUUUUUCUGGAUUGCUCCGUACUUGAUGCUAAAGAGUCUACUAUUGGUUCAUAUGGUUGGAAGAGUAUUUUAAGUGCACGAGAUGUUAUUCAAAAAUGCAUGGUAUGGCAGAUAGGGAAUGGUCAAUCGAUUCGAUUGAGAGAAGAUAUAGAUGGAUCCCAAUACAAUGUAACACAGUUUCUGUAUCGCAGCUGCCUUCAAUCCAAACCGAAACUAAGGUUAGCUCUCUCAUUAAUUCUGAUCUUGGUAUCUGGAAAUCGGAAUUGGUAGAGCAGCUAUUUUUGCCCCAUGAAGCUUCUUGUAUCUUGAAUACUCCACUAAGCCCAAGAUUACCCCUUGACAGAAUUAUAUGGGCUCCCACCUCAACUGGUUGUUACUCGGCUAGCAGUGCUUACAAAUUACUAGUUUCUUGUGAUUCCUCUAACAUUGCAAGCAGCUCAAAUCUAGCAUCAAGUAAGCAGUUUUGGAAAGGGUUAUGAAAUUUGAGAGUUCCCAAUAAGAUUAAGCACUUUGCCUGGCGUGCAUGUAACAAUGCUUUGCCAACAAUGGCUAAUCUUCAUCGACGACACAUUUAUCCUGAAUGGUAUCUGUGAGAUUUGCAAGGUUGAACCUGAAGACCAGAUUCAUGCUCUAUGGUCAUGUAAAGAAGUUGAAGCUGUAUGUGGCUCUUUCCAAUGGGCUCACCAUGCUGCCUCCCCAUCCCCUGUGAAUUUUGCAGAUCUACUAGCUAACUUUAUGCAGGUUCACGAGGACUUCAGGAAAGAAAUCUUCAUUCUUUGUGCGUGGUGUUUAUGGAAUCGUCAAAACUCCCGACCGCUUGGUGUAAUCAUUAGAGAUAGCAACGAAGAUGUAAUUGGUGCUCUAUUUAUGCCAAUCCCACUUUCUCAAUCGGUGGCAGAAUUGGAGGCUCUUGCUUGUCGACGGGCAGUGCAAUUUGCGUUGGAAAUAGGCUUACGGAGGGUGACAUUUGAAGGUGAAUCGGUGACUGUCAUUAAUGCAAUUGUUCGUGGGUCUCCAGAAUUUUUGCCGUAUGGGAAUGUCAUUGAUGACAUUCGGUUUCAAGUUUCAGGUUCACUUUCUCAAAAAAAAAAAAAUAAGUUUCAGGUUUUCAAUUUUUAGAUUUUUGUCAUGUUAAACGCAAUUGUAAUAUUGUGGUUGAUACUCUAGCAAAAAAGGCUAAACAUUGUGUGGGGCUGUAGGUCUGGUUGGAAGACCUACUUGAGGACAUUACCCCAUUAGAGCAUCUCCAGGAGCAUGGCUAUCCGGGUAUAUUAGUUAUAAUAUAGAGAAUAUGUGCACUGUGGAUGCUUCAGCGGAUUCGGCAAAGUCAGU